rnacentral:rRNA from 1 species
AUUGAACGCUGGCGGCAGGCUUAACACAUGCAAGUCGAGCGGGGGCAGGUUGCUUGCUUGCGGUCCUAGCGGCGGACGGGUGAGUAAUGCAUAGGAAUCUGCCUAUUAUUUGUUUACAACAUCUCGACAGGGAUGCUAAUACCGCAUACGUGCAACUGGCGAAAGCAGGGGAUCUUCGGACCUUGCGCUCAUAGAUGAGCCUGAGGCGGGUUAGCUAGUUGGUGGGUUGAAGGCCUACCAAGGCGACGAUCUGUAGCUGGUCUGAGAGGAUGAUCGGCCACACUGGGAGUGGGACAAGGCACAGACUCCUACGGGAGGCAGCCGUGGGGAAAAUUGGACCAUGGGGGGCAAACUUAUCCCAACAUGCCGCGGGUGUAAAGAAGGACUUAUGGUUGGAAAGGACUUUAAGCGGGGAGGAAACUGCUUUAGUUUAUAACUAGGGAUAGUUGACGGUACUCGAAGAAUAAGCACCGGCUAACUCCGUG